rnacentral:lncRNA from 1 species
CCCCUCUUCCCUCCAAUUAACUUCCAUGCUUGAUUUUCCCUUGAGGAGAUUAUAUCAAUCAAAUAUUUAUGUUCAGAAAUGAAAUUGUAAGUAUUUCAGAUGCAGUAAUUAUUAUUGUCUUCUAUAAGAUGAGUUUGCUUUUGAUUCUCAUGACUCCAUCAAUCAACUGGUGCAAUGUCAUUCGUAAUUUCACUUUUUU